rnacentral:rRNA from 1 species
UACAGAGGGUGCGAGCGUUACUCGGAAUUACUGGGCGUAAAGCGUGCGUAGACGGUUAUCUAAGUCGGAUGUGAAAGCCCCGGGCUCAACCUGGGAAUUGCAUUCGAGACUGAAUAGCUAGGGUACGGUAGAGGGAAGUGGAAUUUCCGGUGUAGCGGUGAAAUGCGUAGAUAUCGGAAGGAACAUCAGUGGCGAAAGCGACUUCCUGGACCAGUACCGACGUUCAGGCACGAAAGCGUGGGGAGCAAACAGG